AGCAGCCGCGGUAAUUCCAGCUCCAAUAGCGUAUAUUAAAGUUGUUGCAGUUAAAAAGCUCGUAGUUGAAUUUCGGAAUCUGUCCAUCGGUCGGGCUUUAUUGUCCGUACUGGUGUGGUGGGUUCUUACCUUCUGAAUAACCAGCAUGCCAUUUAUUUGGUGCGUUGGGGAAGCAGGACUAUUACCUUGAAAAAUUAGAGUGCUCAAAGCAGGCUAGUGCCUGAAUACAUUAGCAUGGAAUAAUAAAAUAGGACGGCAUGGUUCUAUUUUGUUGGUUUCUAGGAUCACCGUAAUGAUUAAUAGGGAUAGUUGGGGGCAUUAGUAUUCAAUUGUCAGAGGUGAAAUUCUUGGAUUUAUUGAAGACUAACUUCUGCGAAAGCAUUUGCCAAGGAUGUUUUCAUUAAUCAAGAACGAAAGUUAGGGGAUCGAAGACGAUCAGAUACCGUCGUAGUCUUAACCAUAAACUAUGCCGACUAGGGAUCGGACGAUGUUAAUUUUUAAUGACUCGUUCGGCGCCUUA
rnacentral:rRNA from 1 species